CUUCAGUUAGCGUAAUGGAUGAUUAAUCGGUUGACUCGUCGAUCUGCAGCAUUUCGUUAACACGGACAGAAUUGUCAAUGUUUUAUCGCUUUUGACAUGUGGAGAAAAAAAGAUUGCCGAAAAAAAAUUAAACGCCCGCAGGGACGAACGAGUGAUGUAAUCAGAAAUUUUGCAACUCCGCCGUUUCAAUUAGUCGCUUUAAUUAAGGAGAUUGAUCCUAAUUUUACUUCUGAUGCAAUAUUGCUGGAAAGAAAUUAAACAUACCUGUGUGUAUGUAUGUGUCAGUACUGAAUAAUAGACAUUUAUAAAAGAAAAUACUGGAUUAAAAAUACUAGAAUACUAGAAGAAAAGAAAACCUGUAAAAAUGAGGCUUAUCUCGCUCGGGAAGUUUCAUAAUAAUUUUUUGCACAUUAUUGCAAUAUAUAUGAUUUAACAGA